rnacentral:lncRNA from 1 species
AUUCAGAGUCUUCCCAUCCAUCUUGCCACUGGCCAUUUUGUGACUAAUGCUUUUUCUUUCCACUUGUCCACAGCUGAGGAGACUGCACAUUCUCUUCUGAAACAUUGCAGGUUAUUUUCUUAAAGAUACCUCUUUGGAGGAAGAGGAGGAUGACAACGACGAGGACAAGGAGGAGAAAAAGAAAAUAGGGACUUAUAAGAGGGGACUGGUGCACUGGAUUCUGGAUCUAACAGACAGACACACACACACUGGAUUCUGGACCGAAAGGUUAGAUAUAAGCAAGGUUGGUUCUAUCUGUAUGCUUCUAUCUGUAUUAGUUUUGGU